CCUACGGGUGGCAGCAGUGGGGAAUAUUGCACAAUGGGCGGAACCCUGAUGCAGCGACGCCGCGUGGGUGAAGAAGGGCCUCGGCGCGUAAAGCCCUGUCAGCAGGGAAGAAAAUGACGGUACCUGAAGAAUAAGCCCCGGCUCACUACGGGCCAGCAGCCGCGGUAAUACGUAGGGGGCAAGCGUUAUCCGGAUUUACUGGGUGUAAAGGGGGCGCAGGCGGCGAUGCAAGCCAGGAGUGAAAGCCCGGGGCUCAACCCCGGGACUGCUCUUGGAACUGCGUGGCUGGAGUGCAGGAGGGGCAGGCGGAAUGCCUGGUGUAGCGGUGAAAUGCGUAGAUAUCAGGAGGAACACCGGUGGCGAAGGCGGCUUGCUGGACUGAAACUGACGUUGAGGCACGAAAGCGUGGGGAGCGAACAGGAUUAGAUACCCGAGUAGUC
rnacentral:rRNA from 1 species